rnacentral:rRNA from 1 species
AGCGGCAGGCCUAACACAUGCAAGUCGAGGGGUAAGGCUUUCUUCGGAGAGCACACGACCGGCGCACGGGUGAGUAACGCGUAUGUAACCUUCCUCUUUCAGGAAGAUAGCUCCCGGAAACGGGAAUUAAUAUUCCAUAGUCCAUAAUAAUCACAUGAUUAGUAUGGUAAAGUUCCGACGGAAAGAGAUGGACAUGCGUGUCAUUAGUUAGUUGGUGAGGUAACGGCUCACCAAGACGACGAUGACUAGGGGUUCUGAAAGGAUGAUCCCCCACACUGGUACUGAGACACGGACCAGACUCCUACGGGAGGCAGCAGUGAGGAAUAUUGCGCAAUGGAGGCAACUCUGACGCAGCCAUGCCGCGUGCAGGAGGACGGCCCUACGGGUUGUAAACUGCUUUUCUUAACUAAGAACCGUGGAUAAUCUUAUCCACCUGACUGGUUUUGGAAUAAGCAUCGGCUAACUCCGUGCCAGCAGCCGCGGUAAUACGGAGGAUGCAAGCGUUAUCCGGAUUCACUAGGUUUAAAGGGUGCGUAGGCGGAUUAGAUAGUCAAAGGUGAAAGCCUGCAGCUUAACUGUAGAAGUGCCUUUGAUACUGCUAAUCUUGAGUACAGUUGAGGCGAGUGGAAUGUGUAGUGUAGCGGUGAAAUGUAUAGAUACUACACAGAACACCAAUUGCGAAGGCAGCUCGCUAAGCUGUUACUGACGCUCAGGCACGAAAGCGUGGGGAGCGAACAGGAUUAGAUACCCUGGUAGUCCACGCUGUAAACUAUGAUCACUAGCUGUUGGCGAUAAAUUGUCAGUGGCUCAGCGAAAGCGUUAAGUGAUCCACCUGGGGAGUACGAUCGCAAGGUUGAAACUCAAAGGAAUUGACGGGGGCCCGCACAAGCGGUGGAACAUGUGGUUUAAUUCGAUGAUACGCGAGGAACCUUACCUGGGCUUAAAUGUAGCGCGACGUCUCGAGAAAUCGGGAUUCCCUUCGGGGCGAACUACAAGGUGCUGCAUGGUUGUCGUCAGCUCGUGCCGUGAGGUAUCGGGUUAAGUCCCAUAACGAGCGCAACCCU